UUCUUCAGUUACUGAUUAUUCAAAUCAUAAGGCAGUAACAGUUUUACCCUGCAGGCGACAGCACUUGUAUUCCUCAAACUUUCGUUGGCACCAACGGGCAACGGCGUUCUCAGUUUUCUUCUGAUCGCGUGGCGAAAUCAAACUAAACGCAAAUUUGGCUUAAGAAGUAGGUCACCAACCUGUACCAUGGGGGACAGUGAUGAUGAUUAUGAUCGUCGCAGAAGGGAUAAGUUUAGAGGAGAACGAAGUGAGUACCGGGGAGCUGGAGAAUCUGGAAGGAGAGAAGAAAGAGGCAAUCCUAGGAGAGAAGAGUGGAAUGAUAGUAGAGGCAUCAUGGAACCGAGAAGAGGUGAAUCUUGGUCUCAAAGAGGGUCUCGUUCUCAACCACGUCACGAAUAUCGCGAAUCUUACAGAGGUCGUGAAAGAUACAGCCCAGCAGGUGGGUAUGAUGCACCACAAGCUCCAAAAAGGAUGAGGCCUGACUGGGAAGACAGGCGCUAUGGAUUUGAUGCUGGUUAUGGGCCCAACAUUGGCUCUUCAUGGGGUCAGAAUGAACCAGUCAUUAAUACUCCACCAAACGCUGGAAACUUUAGUGGAUCUUCUUCAAGAGGGGAAGAAUUUCCUACUCAACCACCAAUGAUGUCCUUUAAAGCUUUUCUGGCUGCCCACGAUGAUUCAAUCUCUGACGAAGAAGCAGUUAAAAAGUAUGCCGAGUACAAGCUAGAAUUUCGUCGUCAGCAGCUGAAUGAAUUUUUCACAAGCCACAAGGAUGAAGAGUGGUUUAAGUUGAAAUAUCACCCGGAAGAGAAUCAAAAACGGAAGAACGAGCAUAAAGCUCAUAUUGAAUUACGCAUGAAAACUAUUUUGGAUUUAAUGGCUGAGGGUUCUUUUGAUCAAGUGACUAUCGAUGCGGAUCAGUCAGAAAAGCUAGUAAAACUUCUUGACACCGUGGUAAUUAAACUCGAAGGUGGGAAUGAGUUAGAUCUUCAGGUCCUUGACAACCCUCCUCAACCAACCGCCGAUAAGCAGCCUAUUAAAAUCCAAGAGAAGGUUAUCAAGGAGAUUGAAGAUAAAGAAAAUGAUGAUUUGGGCGAAGGCGACGAUGCUAAAGAAGAUGGUGUGAUCGAGGACUCCAAAAUGGAAAUUAGCUCUGACCCAAAAAGUCCUAAUAACAGUGGCAAAAGAAAACGAAGCGGAUUUGAAUCGGAUAGUGGAAGCGACUGGGAGCGGGAAGGAAAGGAACAAUCGGAAAUAUCUGAAGCUCCUCAAAGCCCUGAUGGUAAGCCAGCUGGUGGUGAGGGUAGUCCUAGGGAAACCGAAGCAGCUGAUGAAAUUCCAGUAAAAGAUGAUGCCAAAGAAAAAGUUGAUGAAGAUGAAAGCAAGGAGGAAGAAAAAAAGGAAAAUGGCGGGCCAGUUCUUCCCCGAGAAUUGCAUCGGACUGCCUCCAUAUUUCUCCGUAAUUUGGCACCUACCAUUACCAAACUGGAAGUCGAAGCGAUGUGCAAACGGUAUCCUGGAUUUUUACGUGCUGCUAUUGCUGAUCCUCAGCCAGAACGCAGAUGGUUUCGCCGUGGUUGGGUGACGUUUGAGCGCAAUGUUAACAUCAAAGAGAUUUGUUGGAAUUUGAACAACAUUCGACUACGUGACACCGAAUUGGGAGCCAUUGUGAACCGGGAUCUAAGUCGUCGCAUCCGUACCGUUAGUGGCAUAACAUCGCAUAAACAAGUUGUGAGGAACGACAUUCGUUUAGCAGCCAAAAUCAUCCAAAACUUAGAUGCACGUUUGGGACUAUGGGCUGAGGAAGAGAAUGAUAAAGCUAAACAUUCUUCGGUCGCUGAUUCUACACUUACUUUCUCUGGCACCAGUCGCAACCCGGUUCUGAACAACAUAACCGAUUUUUUGAUCGAAGAAGCUUCUGCUGAAGAGGAAGAGCUCUUGGGUGCCUCAGCUAAUGAAGAAGGCGAAGAAGCUGAAGCAGCUGCAGGAUUGACUAGAGACGACGAACUUAUUAAAGUGCUGGAUCGUCUGCUCUUCUACUUGCGUAUUGUUCACUCGGUUGAUUACUACAAUCAUUGCGAAUAUCCGAAUGAAGAUGAAAUGCCGAACCGAUGUGGCAUUAUGCAUGCUCGUGGAAUUCCUCCGUCAUCCAAAGUUACCCAAAAUGAAAUCAAUGACUAUUGUCGAUCUUUCGAGAAUAAGAUUGCAUCAUUUCUGGAGCCAAUCAAACGGCUAAGUGAUGAAGAAGCGAGUAAAUUGGGUUUGAAAGAAUCGAAAGCCGAGGUCGAAAAGUUCGUUGCUGCCAACACACAGGAACUUGCCAAAGACAAAUGGCUAUGCCCUCUAUCUGGCAAAAAGUUUAAGGGUCCGGAUUUCGUUCGCAAACAUGUUUUUAACAAACAUGCUGAAAAGAUUGAUGAGGUGCGAAAGGAUGUUGAAUAUUUCAACAACUACUUGCGUGACCCUAAAAGGCCGCAAUUGCCCGAGCAUCCUGGAAAUCGAGCUGCCGGGGUGAGACCAUCGCCAAUGAAUGAGUCCCAAAGAGGCGAGCAUUUCGGUCCACCUGGAGGUUUCGGAUAUGGUGCUUUCAAUUACGGUGGAGGAAGAGGAGGUUAUGGUGGAGGUGGUUUCGGAGGACCGCCACAGAUCAAUAGCUUUAGUAACGCUGGCGGAGGAGGAGGCAGGGAUUUCGGAUUUGGCGGACGAAAUAACCGCGGAGGCAGAGGCCGUGGGCCCCAACAAUCCUCGUAUGAAGGUCGGACAAUAAUUGGCUAUGAUGACGUUGAUACUCCAGCUGACUUCGACGUCUUCUAAUAAAGAACAGGCUACCCUCCAAACGUUGUUUUCUUUGCUUUCGUUUGAAUACCAGAAACAGUUGCUUUCCUUCCCUUUUAAGCGCGGUGGACCUCGUCACAUGUCCCACUACCGGGAUCUCGAUCGCCCCAACGACGAAGAAUUUUGAACCAACUUGGAAUUAAGACGUAACCGCCGCGCGUUGAUUCUCCUACUGUUUAAUUUGAUCCUUGAUUUUAUCUGACCAACACCUUCUGUGCUGUGCUGUCUUCAUUUUUAGUUUACAAAUUUGUGGAUGCAUUGAUGCACAUUCAUUUCUUUCAUUUUGUCAAUCAGUCGUCAAUUGUCGAGAUCGCCGGGCUUUUGUUUGUAUUACAAAAAGAACCGUAACUUUAACUACAA